rnacentral:rRNA from 1 species
UACGGAGGGUGCAAGCGUUAUCCGGAUUCACUGGGUUUAAAGCGCGCGUAGGCGGUCAGCACAAGUCAGUUGUGAAAUCUCCGGGCUUAACUCGGAAAGGUCAACUGAUACUGUGCGACUAGAGUGCAGAAGGGGCAACUGGAAUUCUCGGUGUAGCGGUGAAAUGCGUAGAUAUCGAGAGGAACACCUGCGGCGAAGGCGGGUUGCUGGGCUGACACUGACGCUGAGGCGCGAAAGCCAGGGGAGCAAACGGG